CCACCUGGGCUAUACUGACACUGAGGUGCGAAAGCGUGGGAGCAAACAGGAUUAGAUACCCUGGUAGUCCACGCCGUAAACGAUGUCGACUAGCCGUUGGGAUCCUUGAGAUCUUAGUGGCGCAGCUAACGGCAUUAAGUCGACCGCCUGGGGAGUACGGCCGCAAGGUUUAAAACUCAAAUGAAUUGACGGGGGCCCGCACAAGCGGUGGAGCAUGUGGUUUAAUUCGAAGCAACGCGAAGAACCUUACCAAGUCUUGACAUCCGGAUGACCGGGACGUAACGGUCCUAAGGUAGCGAAAUUCCUUGUCGGGUAAGUUCCGACCUGCACGAAUGGUGUAAUGAUCCGGACACUGUCUCAACCGUGAGCCCAGUGAAAUUGUAGUAUCGGUGAAGAUGCCGAUUACCCGCGAUGGGGACGAAAAGACCCCCGUGAACCUUUACUAUAGCUUAGCAUUGAAUUUGGGCACGCGAUGGUGUAGGAUAGGUCGGAGGCUUAGAAGCGGGCACGCCAGUGUUUCGUGGAGCCGCUGUUGAAACUACGCCCCUUUCGUUUUGUUUGAGUUCUUAAC
rnacentral:rRNA from 1 species